AGGAUAUAGGGACAGUGAGUUUUCUCUGCCACCUCCCACCCUGUUACUAGAAUCAGGACUAAGCAGUUUACUUCAGAGAGACUUUGGAAGGGCCACUAAGACCAGGCGAAAUGUGUGUGAUGCGUAUGCCUAAAUAUCUGUGAAUAAAUUGUUUUCUCUGUGUGUGUGGGUGUGUGUGUGUGCAUGCACACACGUGCGUACGCGCUAUUCUUUUAAAAAUAUUCGUACUUGAACAAAUCAGAUUAGAAAAUGAAUGGGUGAUGCUAUUCACAGUGAUCAGCGGGGCUCAUUAAAUUAUGGUGGCUUUUUUUUUCCCUGCUUUUUAGGGCCACUCCUGCAGCAUAUGGAGAUUCUUAGACUAGGAGUCAAAUUGGAACUAUAGCUGCCACCCUACACCACAGCCUCAGCCAUGCAAAAUCUAAGCCAUGUCUGCGAACUAAACCACAGCUCAUGGCAACACUGUAUCCUCAACCCACUGAGCUAGGACAAGGAUUGAACCCAAGUCCUCAUGGAUGCUAGUCAGGUUCAUUACUGCUGAGCCAUGAUGAGGACUCCGAGUUUUGGUGGCGUCUAAGGAAACGUGUGUCCAGUUGGUCCCUGUCACCCCGGGCAUGAGCCACGUAAAGACUUUAGACAGCCAACAAGCUCAGAUAAUUGAGGGUUUUACAUCCUAUUUUUAUUCUCAAAAAUAUAACUGAGAGAGGCUGAUCCAGAAGGGGAAGGCUGAAAUGUGUUCUUGAGAAAAUCCGCCCUGCAUCUUAGGUAGUCUGUUCUGGAAGAAAGGGCACUCAGUCAUCUGCUGACUGCCUGUACAACCUCACUAGACCAUCGUGUUCUCACAGGGCUCAGAAGAAGCAGCCAUUUCCAUGGUUAAAACCACCCUCGGUCAGUAUUCACCUUUGGAUUUACCAUCCAGGACCUCAGGAUGGUGUGAGGAGGCAGAGCCCACGGAUUUCUGCCCUAACAGAUCCUCCCCAACAAAGCUUUGGUGGAAAUUCUGCUUCAUCCCAAUGUCAGGUAGUUGCUGGGCCAGGCUGGGCUCUGUAGGGCAGACACAGAUGCCCCGGCUUUGCUGUGUUCCCCCGACAGGCUCUUCACCAGAUUCCUAAACCCCAGACCCAGAUCAAGCCUCCUCAGACAGUGUUCUUAAAAAAUAUGUGCCAAGUGUAUUGCAGAGCAGAAAUUAGUAUGUAUUGGGCGGGUUCAGUAAUUGAAUGGUAUUAGCCUCUUCAAAUUUCAAUAUUCGGGCCUUGAAGGUGGUCACCUCAUUAUAACGCAUAACAGUAUGCUGGUAACUUAUAGCAAUAAUAAUAUAAUGUAUUUUUGCCUCUAAAAAAUACAUGUAUAUAUAUAUAUAUGUGUGUAUGUGUGUGUGUGUGUGAGAGUGUGUGUGUGUGCGUGUGUGUGUGUGUAUAUAUAUAUACACACACAUACAUAUACAUAAUGCAUGUUCCUCUUGUGGCACAGUGGAAAUGAAUCCUACUAGUAUCCAUGAGGAUGCGGGUUCGAUCCCUGGCCUUGCUCAGUGGGUCAGAGAUCCAGCAUUGCCAUGAGCUGUGUUGUGGGUCAUAGAUGUGGCCCAGAUCCUGUGUUGCUGUGGCUGUGGUCUAGAUUGGCAGCUGCAGCUCAUAUUUGACCCCUAGCCUGGGAACUUACAUAUGUUUUGGGUAUGGCCCUAAAAAGGAAAAAAAAAAGGCAAAAAAAAUGCAUGUUUUAAAUGCAUACAUAUAAAGCACCAAGUAUGGAAAUGGAAAAAGAACACAAAUAAAUAAAAUGUUGCUGUUCUCAGAAAACAUAGUCUAAAUUGGAGUGAGAAGCAGAUAAGUAGAUUAAUUUCACGGAGGCUGGUAGAGGCUCUCCUAGAAUUAUGACCGUCAUUCUGCGGGAGUCCAGGGCAGGGAGCAGCUUGCUGCACAGCUUCCUAAAGAGUAAGAUGAGUUUAUGAAACUGAUUAUACAGAAAACCACUGGGAUUCUUUGUAAUGAGUCAGUGAAACUUACGAUGUUCUGAACAGGCGUUUCAGCAGACAUUAAGGGCCGCUGGACCCAGAAAUGAAAGGGCACUGAACUGCCAGGCAGUCGCCAACAUCGACGGCUAGAAAAUGCAGCUCCGAUUAAGAAUGACUGGUUUUCACUGUGCCAAGGUGUUCCAUAAUCUGUAUCUUCAGGUUUUGUAGACAGUCCUGCUCAUAUCUGAGCUUCAGAGCUUCUUUUGAUGGGCUUGACAUUUUCCUGCAUACUUGAUGAACUAGAAGCAAAAUGAUCUGUAGGAGUUUAGACUAAAACUCAGACGGAGCUGACUGACAGGUAGUAGCCAUGAGAUGCAGUUAUUUCAUUAGAUCAAAUGUAGUUGUACGCUUUGCUAUUCACUUAACUUCUCCAAAACUAACAUUUUGCAGUUUAAAAAAUUUUUUUUCCAAUUAGGUUUUUGGGUGAGAUGAAUGUUUUCCAGGCUGUGUUCUCGGGAGCUCUAGGGACUCUGCAGAGGACCCCAGGUCUCCUUGGAUGCAGUGGGGCUUCUGAGAAGGAUUUCAAUUCUCUCUUGUCUUCCAUGCGAGCUGGGUUUUUAUCUAAUUUUUUUAUGUGAUACUUUCCUCCGUAACCCAAAUGUCACUGCCUCUGCUUUUCUGUCUUAAAAGAUAGGUGCUUUACCCGGUUCCCAGGGCAAUCCAAGUGCUUCACCCUGUGGCCUCUUUACCAGAGGCUCUUUGUUUUCUUCUCCAACACUGUGAGUCUCUGUCCUGCUGCAAGCCACAUGGGUUCUGAGUUUCAGUCUAUCCAAAGGUCCCUUGUGUCAAUCUUGAUCCCAAAUCAAGUCAGGUAGACAAGACAUUCCUUUUUCCCUUUGACAUUUUGAGGUUUUUUGGUUUGUUUUAGACUUGCCAAAUACAGGACUCUGACUGCUAGUGGAUACAAACAGUUCCUAACUCAAGGGUCAGCUAAGUUCAAGAAAGAACCACACUGAGGGGAAACAGAGUUAUGUAUUCCCAUUACCUUACCUUUCCCCUGGGACAUUGUUACUGUCUUUUUACAAGGUGAUUUUAUUCCUUGAGAGGGAAGGUAUCCUGAGCUUCAGCCAAAUAAGAAUGUCUUUUUCACCACAUUCUGUGGAAUUUAAGUAGAGAGGAAGGAAGGAAGUAGACAUCUAAUUCUAGUCUAGUCUUUCCCUGAAUAGGAAUUGCAGAAGUCCUGUUCCUGCGCUGGGGACAUAAGAUCAUCAGGUGUCAGUAGCAGAAGCCCAGCUCAGAUAAGUUCAAGCUAAAUAAGAUGAGGAAUGUAGCAAACAUAGAAAGGAAAAAAACUCCAUCAUUUCUAAAGACUGACUAAUUUUACACUGCAACAUCUGGACUCUAUCUUCAUGCUAUUAUCUUCCUCCUCUGCCAUGUGUUACAUUCAUGUGCUCUGAUUUCUCUAGGUGGAAGGGGCUGACCUCCAAGCCUGGAACUUGUGAUCCAGGGGAUGUCAUCACCCCCAGAUUGUAUUUAUUCCAUACUUUACUGCCAUAAAAAUGGCAACAGAUGAAUCCUGAUCAGCUUUUGUUUAGGUUACAGCCAUAUUUCUGUGAGCUAUUGGGUUGGACACUGGGUUGGUACCAUGGGAAUCACAAAUAGACCUGGAAUUAUGCAUCUUCUCAAUAAAACCAGGGAGGUUAAGAAGGCACAAAGUGUGUUGGAAAAGUUAACAGAUGCCUGCUAAUCCUGGCCAUCAAUUAAAUAACAAUACAACUCAAGAUGCUUCAUUUUUUCAUGGAUAACCAACAAAAUCCGUAUUGAAGGAUGAUAUUUCCCCUGCUGGCCUACCUUACAUUGUGCUUUAGUCUGUGUACCUUCAUAUUGUCUUAAGGAAAUCAUGUUCAUUCUUUUCUCAACCAGGAGUAAGUCAGUAACUUAAACCCUGCACACAUGCACACUUUUUCUUAGUGUCUGUUCUCAUUGUUGAUCAAGGAAACACAAAAAUGAUUUAAAAUCUCCAUCUUAUAAAGUUUGGGAAUGCAAUAGAGGAAGGCAGAUGUGCAGGGUGGUUUUCAGUUUCUCCUAUCAUGUUUGUAAGAUGUAAACUUCACUUACAAAUUUCUAUUACUACCAAUAUUUGACUCUCACUCAGAUGGCAUCUCAGUUCUCUUCUGUAUAGAACUUUUUGUUCUUCAAUAAUAAUGCUUCAAAGUAAAAUGAUACUCAUUAAUAUUGAUAAUAUUUUACUCUAUUAUAAAAUUUUGAGUUCCUUCACAUGAGAAAGACCAUAGAUGCCAAUCAAUGGUAAUUAAGUUAAAUGUACUUAUUAUAUUUCAUCUCCUUGCUUCCCUUGUGGAUGAAGAAUGGAAGAGAAGUAAUUUGCAUGUAUAACCUUCCUCUACAAAAAAGUCUACAACAUGGGGUUUUAAAAUAUUAAAGAUACGUAGGGAAGAUAUCAAAUGUCUCCAUAUCUAGUUGAUAGAGUGCCAUAUGCCUUGGCAUUUACUGUAGAAAGAUUUCCAUGUUCAUUCUAUUUAGCAUUGCUUAGCAAAACACUUAAACAAUUGAUUGAAAUCAGAAAAUGUCAAAGCCGUAUUUGGAAAACUGAGCUGUAUUAUUUAUUUUACACCAGUAUUAAAUCAAGAGGAAAUCGCAGACAGAAUGGAAUGGUAGUAUAUCUUUUAUAUCUAAUUUGAAAUUUUGCAUACGGCAACAACUAUUGUUAAAUUAUCCAUAGCUAAUUGGUCUUAAACUGAAAUAGUCAAUUAAGCAUGUUCUAGACUAUUAACUGGUUCAUAUUUUUUGCGUUUGCUUAAUUAGACGUUUCCUAUACUAUUUAUUUGCAUUGGUUAAUUUUUCUGCAACUAUUCCAUUUUGUUUAUUUUUAUUAUUUACCUUUUUGAGGUUUAAGAAAAAAGAAAUGGCUAUGGUAAAGAUCAGAUAAAACACACUGCAGAGCAAAGAAACUAGAGACACAGAGGGACAUUACAUAAUGCUAAAAGGGUCAUCUACUAGGAAGACAUAAAGAUCCUAAAUGUAUAUGCACCAAACAGCAGAGCUUCAAAAUAAAUGAAGCAAAAAUUGAUAGCACUGAAAAGAAAAACAGAUCAAUUCACAAUUACAGUUGAGGACCUAAGCAUCUCCCUCUCGGCAAUGAUGAACUCCUAGACACAAAACACUAAGCUUACACAUGAUCUGAGUAACAUGACCAACAGGAUCUCAAGUGUGAGUUUUACAAAUAAACAGAAAAUUUAAUAAGAUGCUUUACCAAGCAGAAUUGAUAAAAUUAGCAUUAAUAUUAUUAUAAUGUUUAUAGUUUCAGGUAGUUUAUACAGACAACAGGGUCUGUUAGCUUAGGGGAGGCUAUUUAAAGAUAUUGAAUUCACAUUGAAGUAACAUGCACAAGAAUGCCACCAUUUUCACCAAACAUGGUGACAUUUUGACAAUUUCAUGUUAUACACGAGCCUGUCAAGAUUCUUAAUAUGUUGUUUUUCUAAUGUGACCUCUGUCACAAUUGCCAAUAAACUAAGACACAUUGAAAUAAUAAAUGAUUUUCUGAGCAUGACCCUGAGGUUCUUUAAUUGCUUUAACUUCAACUCUUUCAGGAAAUGGAAAACUGAUGUUAGAAGGAGCAGACAGGAAGGGUCUUGGGUAAGAACCAAUAGAUAAGAGGAAGAGGUCUCAGGUAACAGGUGUCACUCUGGGCAUGUGAGCAAAAUAAGAAAUGUUUAAUCAAGGCUUGCAGCACAGAUGGAUGGGGAGCAAAGUAAAACCCAGGAAUUCCUGUGCCCAGAGCCAGAAAUAUUUAGAGAUCUAGCUGGGCCAUAAUUCGGAUUCCUGGCACCAUUAAGUGGUGAGAUGGUCUGAGAAAGAUAAAAAUCUUGCAGUUUCAUGGAUUAAAGUAAAUAUUAACGUCAGAGGCACUAGCACAAGGAAACAAUGUUGGGACUUAAUUUUUCAGAAAAUGUGUGUGAUGGAGAACACCGACCGAACCUGGCAGCCUAGCAGAAACGAAGUUGGUAGAACUGCAAGCAAAAUGAGAGAAAGACCCUCAGGCACCGAAGCUUGAUAGCGACAGCCUCAAAAGUUGAAGCAGUGCUCCUAAGAGUAGCCUCAGGUCAGAGGAGGAGGUGGAGGGGCCUUGUUGUAAGAAAAGGAGUACCAUUUGCCUAGGUCAUGACUGUGCACAUAACACACAGGUUAAAUCAAAAGCAAACAAACAAUAGGAACAAAGAAAAUGACAUCUAAGUUUUAAUCCAGCAGGUACACUAUAUUUUAGGACAUAAUGUGAAAGACUCAGGAUCUUCUCAUGUUUUCACUUGAUGUAAUGCAACAUAGUGAAGUCGAUGUUCCCGUUUUCACCCUAGGGUAUGCAGGUACCAUCCAUUAGCUUGAAAACAGAUUAACAGGGCUCAAAGCCAGCUUCAGAACAGCAGGCAUUCAAUGAAUGGAUUUGACAUCCAUCAAAUGAAUCUCAGCCUAUAACCUAACCAUCUGAAAUACAUCCCAGUUUUGUUAAGUGCUCCACAGUCCCAUGAUGUAAUACACUUUCUUUUACUUCUGGAUUUAUGAUAAAAGAAAUCUUAUCUUGUUAACUAAAACUGAAUUACCGAUACAUUAAAAAGAUUCUUUUUUCCCCCUCUUUUGCAUAUCCCCCAAUGACCUUGGAAAUAUUCAGCUUCUAAGGAUUUAUUUCAGAAAAGUGUUUCUAUAUUUUUUAGAAUUCUAAAUCUGAAAUUUGAUUUGUUUUAAAAGUGUUUAUAUUCUGCAUUCCUAACAAGAUAAAUGCAUAUAUUUUCAAGAACUUUUGAUCAAUUUAACUGAGAUGCCUGUGUUUGUAGCUUUGUAAAUAUACAUUACAAAAUCAAAACAAGACAGCAGAAAUUGACAGCACAUUGUAAAUC
rnacentral:lncRNA from 1 species